rnacentral:rRNA from 1 species
AGCGAACGCUGGCGGCAGGCCUAACACAUGCAAGUCGAACGAACCUUUCGGGGUUAGUGGCGGACGGGUGAGUAACACGUGGGAACGUGCCUUUAGGUUCGGAAUAACUCAGGGAAACUUGUGCUAAUACCGAAUGUGCCCUUCGGGGGAAUGAUUUAUCGCCUUUAGAGCGGCCCGCGUCUGAUUAGCUAGUUGGUUGAGGUAAUGGCUCACCAAGGCGACGAUCAGUAGCUGGUCUGAGAGGAUGAUCAGCCACAUUGGGACUGAGACACGGCCCAAACUCCUACGGGAGGCAGCAGUGGGGAAUCUUGCGCAAUGGGCGAAAGCCUGACGCAGCCAUGCCGCGUGAAUGAUGAAGGUCUUAGGAUUGUAAAAUUCUUUCACCGGGGACGAUAAUGACGGUACCCGGAGAAGAAGCCCCGGCUAACUUCGUG